GGCGGUGAUUCCCCAAUAGAGAGGAACCUUACCAAAUUGAUCCUGUCAAUAUCAUUCCACCUCACUUGUUGUUAUACACCAACCAAGCAAGCACUUAAAGUCAAUAAUACCAUUUUUUUAAAAAGUAGGUGAGACCUAUUUUAAUACUUACAGAAGCCACAAACAAAGUGGAGGUGGAUUUGUCAAAGACAAUGAAAGCAAAGCUCCCAAUUAGAUGGCCAACCACAUGGUUUGGAGGAUAAGGUGCUCGGUCACGAAGGGCCUUGUAAGCUUCAAUGACCAAAAUCACUUCAUUUGCCGACUUUGCCAGACCAUAUUGCUGCUUUAAACUCCCCAAGUUAUCAAGGGCUCCCUCAAACAAGCAGAAGAUUUCAUCUUUCACAGCAAAUG
rnacentral:lncRNA from 1 species